CUUUGGUCUGCUUGAAAACUCAGACAUCAAUAAGGCAGUUAAGUUUAUAUAUUGAAUCAUAUGAAGUAUGGAUUAUGCAGAACAGCCCACCUCUAGUUUUGAGUGAAAGGAGGUCAAUAUUUUACAGGACUUUACAGGACAGAACCCUAAGUACUGCAAGAGUUCCUGACACCAGUGAAUGAAUCCAUGCAGCAGAUCAUAAACACAUCACCAAGUCAUGAUUUUGGAACAUCACUUCCUGCUUUUCCUAAAUAUUAAUGUAAGUGAAACCUGAAGGGGUUGCUUUUAGUGUGUGGUGAAUGUUGCAUUGUCACCAGGUGACCAGUGUUUUUUUUUUUAAUCAUUGAAUGUGCUCCUUUAUCAAAGUGUCUUUGAGAUAAAUAGAAGUAAGGCUUGAG
rnacentral:lncRNA from 1 species